AAGGGUUCGGCUGUUCGCCGAUUAAAGUGGCACGCGAGCUGGGUUCAGAACGUCGUGAGACAGUUCGGUCCCUAUCCAUCGUGGGCGUAGGAUAUUUGAGAGGAUCUGCUCCUAGUACGAGAGGACCAGAGUGGACGCACCUAUGGUGCACCUGUUGUCGCGCCAGCGGCACAGCAGGGUAGCGAUGUGCGGAUGGGAUAAACGCUGAAAGCAUCUAAGCGUGAAACCCACCUCAAGAUUAGAUAUCCCAUAUCAUAAGAUAGUAAGACCCCUUGAAGACUACAAGGUUGAUAGGUCGGAGGUGUAAGCACGGUAACGUGUUCAGCUGACCGAUACUAAUAGGUCGAGGGCUUAAUCAA
rnacentral:rRNA from 1 species